UUACUACCCUUGACAUGUCCGGAACUUGCCAGAGAUGGCUUGGUGCCCGAAAGGGAAUCGGAACACAGGUGCUGCAUGGCUGUCGUCAGCUCGUGUCGUGAGAUGUUGGGUUAAGUCCCGCAACGAGCGCAACCCUUAUCAUUAGUUGCUACGCAAGGGCACUCUAAUGAGACUGCCGGUGACAAACCGGAGGAAGGUGGGGAUGACGUCAAGUCCUCAUGGCCCUUAUGGGUAGGGCUUCACACGUCAUACAAUGGUCGGUACAGAGGGUUGCCAAGCCGCGAGGCGGAGCCAAUCCCACAAAGCCGAUCGUAGUCCGGAUUGUUCUCUGCAACUCGAGAGCAUGAAGUCGGAAUCGCUAGUAAUCGCAGGUCAGCAUACUGCGGUGAAUACGUUCCCGGGUCUU
rnacentral:rRNA from 1 species